rnacentral:rRNA from 1 species
GAUGAACGCUGGCGGCGUGCCUAAUACAUGCAAGUCGAGCGAACGGACGAGAAGCUUGCUUUUCUGAUGUUAGCGGCGGACGGGUGAGUAACACGUGGAUAACCUACCUAUAAGACUGGGAUAACUUCGGGAAACCGGAGCUAAUACCGGAUAAUAUUUUGAACCGCAUGGUUCAAAAGUGAAAGACGGUCUUGCUGUCACUUAUAGAUGGAUCCGCGCUGCAUUAGCUAGUUGGUAAGGUAACGGCUUACCAAGGCAUCGAUGCAUAGCCGACCUGAGAGGGGGAUCGGCCACACUGGAACUGAGACACGGUCCAGACUCCUACGGGAGGCAGCAGUAGGGAAUCUUCCGCAAUGGGCGAAAGCCUGACGGAGCAACGCCGCGUGAGUGAUGAAGGUCUUCGGAUCGUAAAACUCUGAUAUUAGGGAAGAACAUAUGUGUAAGUAACUGUGCACAUCUUGACGGUACCUAAUCAGAAAGCCACGGCUAACUACGUG